ensembl:lncRNA
UGUAAAUAUAUAUAGUUUGUCAUGAAACAUAUAUCAUGUCAGCUAUGUCAUGCAACAUGGGGGAUCCUAGUUCCCCGACCAAUUGAACCCACACCUCCUACAUUGGAAGCACAGAUUCCCAACCACUGAACCACUAGUAAUGUCACAAUAUUUCUGUUUCCGGCUGACUCUCUCACCUCUCCACCCUAGAAAAACAGCUCGUUUCUCUUCCUCUCAUCAGAUAGGCAAAGAAAGUGAUUGCAUACUUUUUUAAUUACAGGCGUACAUAAACCUACAAUUCUAGAGUGUUGAUUUGUUGGACCGUAAUGUACACACUGAACUGCAUUUGGCAGCAUGCCAGAUGUGUAAAGUUGGAAUUUAAUGAUGUUUCAGUAGCAGCCCCAGAAUUUUGUACAAUACCACUGUCGAAUACUAAUGUAACAGUAGCAAGAAAACGAACAGAGAAACGGCUUCUUUCUCAAGUUCCCUUUUUUCUCUUUCUUGGAUAUGGAGCAACUGAAAGCAAUUAACUAUUCCAUGGAAACUUCAUCUCAUAAAGAAACUCCAGUCAAAAGCAAACCGUGGUCAUUGUUACUAUGUUCGUGGAACUUUAUCAACCAACCAAAGAAUCUAGGAUCUCACACCAUCACACCUUUUCAUAGUGCUGAGCUGGAGAUGAAAGGGAAUAGAACAAGUGCCAAGGACGCCAGAGGAGAUGAAAGGAUGCGUUUCUUCAAAUAACUGCAAAGACUGGAGAGACUCAAAUCCAGCUUGAUGGCGUGAAUGCUGCAGAUCACAUCAGCAAUCAGUAAGACAGAGUGUAUCUCCCAAGAGCUUUGAACAGGAAAACAAUGAGCCCUAGCCCCUCAAAGCUGGGGUUUCUUUGAUCUUGGUCAUUAUGUUGGGAGUGCUACCCCACUGGGGAGACUGUUCCUUCUCAACCGACAGAAUGGACAAAGUUUUACAACUGAUCACACAACCACCUUCACACCUUUACGAAGAAAGCAAUUGUAUUAGUCAGGACUCUGACUUGGAUAUAUC